UGCCUACGGGGGGCAGCAGUGGGGAAUAUUGCACAAUGGGGGAAACCCUGAUGCAGCAACGCCGCGUGAGUGAAGAAGGUUUUCGGAUUGUAAAGCUCUGUUAGCAGGGAAGAGGAAGGACGGUACCUGCAGAGGAAGCCACGGCUAACUACGUGCCAGCAGCCGCGGUAAUACGUAGGGAGCAAGCGUUGUCCGGAAUUACUGGGCGUAAAGGGCGCGUAGGUGGGCGCUUAAGUCAGGUGUGAAAACUCCGGGCUCCACCUGGAGACUGCACUUGAAACUGGGUGUCUUGAGGGCAGGAGAGG
rnacentral:rRNA from 1 species